GGCCCUGGCUCAGUGGAAGAGCCUCAGCUUUGUGUGCAGAAGGUCUCUGGCUCAAUCCCCGGCAUUGCCA
rnacentral:tRNA from 1 species